rnacentral:RNase_P_RNA from 1 species
UUGGAAUGCCGGACGGCUACGCCCCGACGUCAUGUCGGGGUGAGGAAAGUCCGAACACCCCUUGGGCCGCAAGGUCCUUUGAAAAGGAGCGUCGCUAACGGCGACCAGGUAUGUCGGUGGGGUUUAAACGCGUUGGAGAAAUUCACGCGUUUGCCUCUCAUCGUAAGCCUAGGGAAAGUGCCACAGAGACUAUACUAUCCCCCGUCGCUCCUCACGGAGCCAUGGGGGAGAAAGGUGAAAAGAUCGCGGAAGUCGCAAGGCUACCGCGUAGGCCCCAUGGCGACAUGGGCGCGUGGAAAACCCGCUCCGGUGCAAGAGCAAGUUUGGUAGCUCGCUAGAACCUGGCGGCAACGCCAGGACCAGAGAGAUGGCCGUCUCCGCCCCGCAAGGGACGACAGACAAAAUUCGGCUUACAGGCAUCUCCCGGGAC